ACAGACGCUCACUAUUGCUUCUAAACAUCCAAAUUUUUCUUUAUCUGGAGAAGAACUUGAAGAAGAAAGUGACUACGUUAAUACAGCUGUGUGCUCUGUGGACAAAAUGUCAACCACAUCAGAUAAGAAGUGUGGCUCCUUCACUCAGAGUUUUCUACCAGUAGCAGUGAGUUGGGUGAUACUGUUGGUAAUCUUGGCUCUUCAUAUC